rnacentral:rRNA from 1 species
UACGUAGGGUGCGAGCGUUAAUCGGAAUUACUGGGCGUAAAGCGUGCGCAGGCGGUUUGCUAAGACCGAUGUGAAAUUCCCGGGCUUAACCUGGGAACUGCAUUGGUGACUGGCAAGCUAGAGUGUGGCAGAGGGGGGUAGAAUUCCACGUGUAGCAGUGAAAUGCGUAGAGAUGUGGAGGAAUACCGAUGGCGAAGGCAGCCCCCUGGGCCAACACUGACGCUCAUGCACGAAAGCGUGGGGAGCAAACAGG